AUGGCGGAGGAACUGUCCGCCAAACGUCACCAUGGCGACACUUCGAACAAGAGCAGCAACCUCGCCGACGUUCACGUCCCCGACGAGAAGCACGAGUACACCAAAACGCUCAAAGGGGUUGAGCUCCACGGCAAGGAGACGUUGGAGAUCGUCUGCACCAGCGAACCAGAAAAGGCCGACCAGAUGAUGAGCAGGCUCAGGAUGAAGGGCGGCGGCUUGUAUCUGAGCUUCAUCGGAGUUGAUGUGGAGUACACCGACGAGGAAAAACCUCCACAGAUGGCGGGAGUCCUGCAGUUGUGCGACGAGGAACUAUGCUUGGUGUACCACAUCGCAGCAGCCACAAAAUGGCCCAAGCGCCUCAAAGACUUCCUGCAGGAGGAGAAAUUGUACACAUUUGUUGGUUUCAGCAUUGGAGGUGACAAGCAGAAGCUGGGGAAGUCUGGUUUGGAAAUCAAUCCCAACAACUUCAUCGACAUGCAGCGCAAGUGGAAAGAUCCAAAGACCAACAAAUAUUAUGACUCCUUGGCCGAUGUUGCAGGCGGCGUCAUCUAG
rnacentral:rRNA from 1 species